AGGCUCCAUGAUAGGUCCUUGGUAUUGGACACAUCCUCUGUUGUUCUCUUGCAGACUCCACAGCAGUACAACAUCAUGUGGAUCCUGACAGACGUGACCUCCGUGCUCCUCAUCUCACUCAUCUUUGCUCUGCACUGGUGGCGAGAGCGGAGUUUCUCCUGCUGCACCCACAACGGCAGCACGAUGCUGGAGAGUGGCACCUACAACAAGUUCAGGACAGAGCUCAGCGAC
rnacentral:lncRNA from 1 species